CCUCUCCCCCUUCCGUCAGUGCGGUCUCAUCGACUCCCUUCGCUUAUAGGACACACGCGUGUAAUAUCUCAGCCUCACGGCUUACUGUGGGCUUCGUGACGACGAGGUACAGCACAGCAGAGAUGAGCAAGGGAAAGAAACGACAGCAUUCAGUCACUUCCAACUUGUCUCUCCAACCAUCUGAAAUUAAACACAGGUUUUCUUCUGUUUUUUGUGACCUUAAGCUCAAGCGUGUACUUUGAGCUUAAGGUCACAAACAUUCUCUUUUGGGACUUGUUCUUCUAGAGAGAAGAAUUCAUGGCUUCAUCAAUAAUAGCAAGUCCUCCAGAUUCUAGGAACUCAUCCGUGGAAGCCAUUUUUACUCAGUCUCUUUCUCAUACUGAAUGCUGAACACUGACCUUUUAAGUCAGGACAUGAUGUGUUGCUUUUUGAGACCUCUUCUUGUUAUCAAACAGGUCAUAUUAAUGUGAUUUAAGAAUAAUACCAGUCUUGCAAUAAGCAGUCAUGGGUUUGGGAAUUGAAAUUGAAUUCAGCUUAUUCAGCCAUGAGGAUAGGAAUAGUUAAUUUAAUGAUUUAUUGGACAAUUAUGUCUUCGAAUGCGACCAGGUUGGUUUGGGUAACCAGUUUUCUUUUACAAAUUACAGUAAAUGCUUCUUUGCAAACUGC